rnacentral:rRNA from 1 species
GAGUUUGAUCAUGGCUCAGGACGAACGCUGGCGGCAGGCCUAACACAUGCAAGUCGAACGAGAAACCAGAGCUUGCUCUGGUGGACAGUGGCAGACGGGUGAGUAACGCGUGGGAAUAUACCCAGUAGUACGGAAUAGCCUUUGGAAACGGAGAGUAAUACCGUAUACGCCCUCGGGUAAGGAAGUUAUCACUAUUGUAGUAG